rnacentral:lncRNA from 1 species
AAAUAGCUAAUUACAAAUGAGCUGCUGGGUUGUUCACAGCGUGCCUGAGCAGUUCCUGCGGGGACAGCAGUGCUGUGCUCCAUGCAGGUCUGUGCAGGGGGUGUGAGUGACCGUGUCUGGUGCAACAGAAGGUGCAGUGACACCUGAGAGAAAAAUAAAAAGGGUGUUUUAGGAGCCAGGAGGGAGAGCAGAUGGUGCUGGGAAUGACACAGGUGCCCCGAGUCACAAAGCCGUGUGCUCUGAUGUGGGAUGAAUUGCCACCAGCUGGGGGAAGCUGGAGGUGGGCUUUAGCACUUGUUCCUGAGCACCGGGGGGGUGAGAUGUGUCCCAGUGAGGUGCUGGGGAGGGCUCAGCUCCUUCUGUUGGCUCCUUGGGAUUGCUGGCAUGAGAGUGGGUGCGUGUUUGGCUGUGGGCAGAGACUGUGCUGCAGCGUACAAAAGCAGCUGUGUGGUCCGACCCAGUGCUGGGGGAAAGCAUCCCGGGGAAGCACCUAUAAACUGGAGAUGACGCACUUGAUCCAGCGUGUUUGCUGCGGUGGCGCGUCACCUAGGAGCAUCGAGUGGAAGGAUGUUGUUCCGUGCUGCAGAGCGGGCGCAGCUCAGCUCAGCAGACCUCAGCUGCCGAUCUGCACGCAGCAUCAAAGCCAUGCAGGGAGGACUGCCUUUCCACAGCUUGUGGAUUCAGAAGUGCUGAAUCCAUGUCAGAAGAAAAAGUGUUUAAAGGUGACAUUUGCUUCAAGUUCCAGCUGUUCCUCCGCACGUGGGUGCUUUCCUGGGGGCUGUCACUUCCUCAACCUGUCUUUUUAUUUUUUUGUCUCUGGUGGAUGGUGUUGGAGCGUUCCUUGGCUGCAGCAUGCAAAUCCUACAAAAUCCCUUGAUCCCCCUGUCUAG